ensembl:snRNA U1 U1 spliceosomal RNA
AUACUAACAUAGCAGGGGAGAUACCAUGAUCACAAAGGUGGUUUUUCCAGGGAGAAGCUUAUCCAUUAUACUCUGAAUAUGCUGACUCCUUGAUUGCCCCCAAUGCAGGAAAUAUAACUGCAUUGAUAUUGGGGGACUGCAUUUAUGCUUUCUCCUG